GUAAAAUUGCAUUGAAAUGGGGGUUUACGGGUGUUUUCUUAGUCAAAUGGGUGGACAGACGAAGCUGUAUUUAGAUUAAUUACUGUGUUAAAUUUUAAAUUACCCUUACAGUUUUUGUUUUGUUUAUAAAACAUGUGAAUUUUUUAUUUCAGUGUUAACCAUGUUCUGAAGAGCAUUCUGUUGAAAAAUCUUAUAUGUGAAUUGGUCUGCAGAUGACACUUCAGCAUU
rnacentral:lncRNA from 1 species